GCGGCAACAGCUCAAAUUUGAAAUCUGGCCCUCGGGUCCGAGUUGUAAUUUGUAGAGGAUGCUUUUGGUGCGGUGCCUUCCGAGUUCCCUGGAACGGGACGCCAUAGAGGGUGAGAGCCCCGUCUGGUUGGACACCAAGCCUCUGUAAAGCUCCUUCGACGAGUCGAGUAGUUUGGGAAUGCUGCUCUAAAUGGGAGGUAUAUGUCUUCUAAAGCUAAAUACCGGCCAGAGACCGAUAGCGCACAAGUAGAGUGAUCGAAAGAUGAAAAGCACUUUGAAAAGAGGGUUAAAUAGUACGUGAAAUUGUUGAAAGGGAAGCGCUUGUGACCAGACUUGAGCCCGGUUAAUCAUCCAGCCUUCUGGCUGGUGCACUUGGCCGGCUCAGGCCAGCAUCAGUUCGGCGCGGGGGAUAAAGGCUUCGGGAAUGUGGCUCCUCCGGGAGUGUUAUAGCCCGUUGUGUAAUACCCUGUACUGGACUGAGGUUCGCGCAUCUGCAAGGAUGCUGGCGUAAUGGUCAUCAGCGACCCGUCUUGAAACACGGACCAAGGAGUCGUCUUCGUAUGCGAGUGUUCGGGUGUCAAACCCCUACGCGUAAUGAAAGUGAACGCAGGUGAGAGCUUCGGCGCAUCAUCGACCGAUCCUGAUGUUCUCGGAUGGAUUUGAGUAAGAGCAUACGGGGCCGGACCCGAAAGAAGGUGAACUAUGCCUGUAUAGGGUGAAGCCAGAGGAAACUCUGGUGGAGGCUCGCAGCGGUUCUGACGUGCAAAUCGAUCGUCAAAUAUGGGCAU
rnacentral:rRNA from 1 species